ensembl:lncRNA
CUUUAACUCACGAGGGCAGCCAUGAAACACAGGAUCUGCGCCUCAUGACUGUCUACGUCCUUUAUUUAUACAAGAUGUUUCUCUGUGUGUGUGUGUGUGUGUGUGUGUGUGUGUGUGUGUGUAUAACAGAGUUAUUCUCAGAACUCAGAGCUGAGGUUCCCCUUUUCUAAGUCUGUAUGCUCCAAAACAGAAAGAGGAAGCUGUAAGUUGUUUAUCACAGAAGAGUUCAUGUCAAAAGUUAUUAGGUGAAAAGUCACACAGACAUGUGCUUAAUGAUAAAAUAAAAAGAUACAUUUCAUAUAGCUGAUCACAUUAUACAAUAUUCUCCUGUGACAGUCAGUAACUAGCUUUACUGUCUGGGUCAACUUUGCUAGCAAGAGACAGAGGGAGGCGUUAAAAGGCUGCUCCAACUGAACUUUACUGUUUCGGAGGUGGCGAACACAGUGUACACUCAAGUCUUAGCAGCUUACUUCCAACUGGGCUCAUCAGCCACUAUUUUUGACUGCAGUGGUUAUUAUUAUAUUUACAUGCUUUCAUUUUCCAUUUCUCGUUGGUAGUUACUCGUACUUUCUCCCUCCCUCGCGCUCACACACACACAGUGGAAGAGGCAGUCCUACACAUUCUCCCUGCAUAAGGGACUACACUACCCAUGAGGCUACAUUCUGAAAGGGUUAUGCCAGAGGCCUGUACAAGAACUGGACCCAAGUGCAGGAUGAAGUGCGGAGGCAGAAUAGUUGAACUACAGUAGUUUUUAUUUACAAUAACACAGGGAUAUAUACGGUGGCCCCUGGAGACAAAGAGGCUUCUGGUGGAUUUCCUCUGUGCUGGUCAGUGUGUGAUUCUGGUCUAGGUGUGGAAAAGGCCUGCUGUGUGUGUGAGACCAGCCCCACCGUGCGUGGCUCUUUGUGAGUAACUCUCAACUGAGCAGUGGUUUUUCUUAAGUGAAGUGGCCUCCAUUUCUUGGUUUGGCCUUCCUGGUUUUAUUGCUAAGAGCAGCGUAGCUGUCUUUUUCUGUUGUUACUGUUCAUAUGAUUAUUGGGUUAAUUGAUUAUAAUAAAGAUUUAUUUUGUGUUAAACACCUCUGCCUGGCAUCCUAUUCAUUCCAAUCCGGAUCCAGUUGUUACUGUCCCCCACCCUCUUCGCCUAGCUUUCAUGUGGGGACGUAACAACAGUGAUCUCUCCAUGUGCUCCUGAAGUCGGCAAUCAUCUCUUUUGUUUUGUCAGAGACAGGUUGUUGUUAGGUGCAAGAGUUAAUGGGUCUGUUAGCUGUUGCACCUCCUUUCAUUGCUUGCUGAGGAGACCCAUGGCAGUCGUGCCAUAAGUGAACUUGAUCAUUUGGUUCAAACUGUGCAUUGCUGCACAGUAGUGAGUCAGCAGAGUGAACAGCAUUGGGCUGAGCACACAGCCCUGAGGGGCUCCAGUCCUCAGUGUGGUGGUGUUGGAGAUGCUGUUGCCGAUCUGGACUGACUGAGGCCUAUCCAUCAGAAAGUCUAGGAUCCAGAUGCAGAGAAAGGUGUUCAGGCCCAGCAGGCUCAGUUUUCCAGUGCUGAGGAAUGAUUGUGUUGAAUGCUAAGUGGAAAUCUAUGAACAGCAUCCGUAUAUACGUGUCCUUAUUGUCCAGGUGGGUGAAAGCCAGAUGUAGGGUGAUUGUGAUGGUGUCAUCUGUUGACCGGUUGGGGCGAUAGGCGAACUGAGGUGAGUCCAGUGUGGGUGGCAACAGGGUCUUAAUGUUCCUCAUGACAAGCCUCUCGAAGCAUUUUAUCAUGAUGGGCGUGGGUGCCUCAAUGCUGGUAGUCAUUGAGGCAGGACACUGGGGAUGUUGGGAUGACAGCAAUGCUCAAGGAGAGGUUGAAGAUGUCAGUGAGGACAUCUGUCAGCUGGUCUGCACAUUCUCUGAGCACUCUCCCAGGGAUGUCAUCUGGACCAGCAGCUUUCCAUGGGUUAACUCUGCGAAGAGUUUUUCUCACAUCAGCCAGGCAUAGAGCCUGGUUCCUGGGGUCUUCAUCACCGUCACCAAUAACAUCCUGUGCAGAGGAGUUGUUCAUCGCAUCUGGUAGGGAGGCACAGGCAGGCAUCCCAUAGUUGAUGAUGGGCUGGAUGCCCUGCCACAUGCGCUGCGUGUCACCGCUGUCCUGAAAGUGGCUGUGGAUUCGCUGUGGGCGUGCUUUGCUGUUCUGAUGGCUUGAGACAGUUUGGCCCUCACUGUUCCCAGGGCCACCUUGUCACCUGUCACUAGCAUUUACGUGGAAAAAGGAAAAGACCAUCUCUGAAUCAAGGAGGGGGUCUAAGGGUACAUCUUGCAAUGCUGUGAUUGUAGCAAUUCCCCAACUCACUGUU